GAGGAGAUUCAUCGUUAACGUAUUUAAUAUUAAUACAGGCUAUGAUAUGAUAAUARAAUCCUUGUGAUUAUUAUAUUAUACUUUCUUGUAUUAUUUUUGUUAGAUAUGUUAAUGUGCACUUCUCUUCUAGUAGAACAUUGCAAUCCGUUAAAUAUUUAUCUAUGGCUUUGAUGGUAGCCUUUGAUAUUUAUUAUAUUGAAGACCAUUAAUUUUCUGAUAAAUUGUUUGACGGUAUACAUAUGAUAUUGAACCGCAAUUAUUUGCGUUAGAUUUACCACAAGUAUGAUUUUAUUUUAGUAUUGCGGAUUUAAUGCCGUCGCUAGAAAAAGUUUACUGUUGGUGGUGUAAUGUCUUUAACUGGUUUAUUUAUCGAUUAGCAAUGCUAUUGCUUUGGGUAUUUACAGGACCCGUCUUGAAACACGGACCAAGGAGUCUAACAUGUGCGCAAGUCAUUGGGAUAUAUUAUUAUAAUUAAUACCUAAAGGCGUAAUGAAAGUAAAGAUUGUUUUAAAACAAUUGAGGGAAGAUGAGUUACGUUACGAUGUAAUUUCGCAUUCCCAGGACGUUUUAU
rnacentral:rRNA from 1 species